AUAACUUGAUGGAGCACAUAAUGGAUUUUCUUUAUGCAUCUUUUUUUGCUCAUUGAUCAUUCCACAGUUUUGUGUUGCAAGGCAGCCCACAACCCAGGACUUCAUUGCGUGAAUACGCCCAACUGUGCCUCUGCAGCAGAAUGAAGAUAUGACUUCACCAGAGCCACAGCAGUGGGACUGCAGAAGCAGCUGUGGGUCACGGCCUAUGGACUCGCAAAGGAGGGAAACCUGCAGGCCACAGUUUGAAGAUUGGAAGAACAGAACUGUGACAGCAGCAGGAGGGGGAUUUGCCAUCUUCAAAUGAUGCUUUACAGACACAACAGCCAAGAUGAAAAACUGAGGCACAGACUCCCAGCUCUCUCAGAUUAUUUGGCUUGGAAAUAACAUUGAGGAUCAAUGGAAGAUCACAUCCAUUUGGAGGUGUACAGUCCAUUUGUAAGAUUUUGGGACAUUCUGCAUCCUGGCCCAGUGCCACUGCUUGAGGGUGAUGGCAGAGAUGAAUUAAGGUCACCUAUAGUAUCUGUGUAUCUAAUGGUCAACUGUCCUCAAGGAAGAGGGCUAAAAUCAGCAGCUCAUUUAACGCAGACUGUUGAGAACUCUCUAUGCAUAAGCUUUUUACUUUAGUGCAUGAGCUGGAUGCAAACUGGUCAACUGAAUUGCAAAAAUCAAAUUCAUCUUUUCCAAUUUGCAAGCUCCUUUUCUGAGCACCCAUUCAGUAUGAAGAUGCCAAAAGUGUUGGGGGAUUUUAUUUCAUUUUUUGUUGCUAGCUCUAUAUAAUGGAAGUAUAUGAAGUGCUGUGCAUAAGAUGUUAUUAGGACAUUAGGAUUACUCAUUGCAAAGACACGUGAGAGUGGCUGUUUCCUUGCACAGCAUGGAACCAGAAUGCCUGCCAGUUGGAAAUUAAGUCAUCUUCCAUUUCAGGCUGAUUUAUCUACAAAAUAUGAGUUUUCUUGUGGAUCUGGAAUUGCCAGGCAUGUUGGAUAGGAAGUAGUUGAGCAACCCAACGUUUCUGGAAGGUGGGGAGCUUGGAAAUACACCGACACCCUUCUCCAAUUUCUUGGCUCAGCCGCUUGCAUUCAGCUGAUAUGAAAUCCUCUCUUUCAAGAGGGCACCUUUUCUGCCUACUGUGGUUUUGCAGCUCUGGUAGCAUAAAUGCCAUCUCCUAGAGCACAACAGGCUUUUCCAUUAGGAUCUAGGAAGAGCCAGGUUGGGUACAGGCUAGCAGAACUCAGUGAAGAUUUGAGGACCUCCAAAUACUUUAGUCUUGUACAUUCAAGGAUUCCACAAAAUACAUGUAAGCAGAGAUUAAACGUCCAGAGGAGAGCACAGAUGGAUGAGUAGCACUCAUUUUGAUUACCAACGUUCCUAAAAGUAGAAACCUCUAGCCAAGAGGAAAGGAUUUUUCCUUUAUGUGAGAAAAGAUUGACUUCUGAGACCCUUGUAUUUAAAUACCAGUAGCUGACGCAUCGCCACUGAUGCAGGUUGUCAUUUCUGAAUUUAAAAAAAAAAAACAACAACAAAAAAAACCUCUUUUCCUGUAUCAAAAUAAAAUUAUUGUGCAGCAAUUUAAAGGCAUGGCUCUUCUCUAUGAGCUCGGAAAACAUCCCAUUACGUCUAUCACAAAUUGCCUCAAUAACUUCUGCUGACAUGCUCAUUUGUUCUCAUUUCUGAAUAAAUCUGCUCGAUGACUUCCAUAGGACAAAGCAGGGAUUUCCCAGGCCAUGAUUCAGCACAGCUUCAUUCCAGCACCUCGGUAUUCUCAGCAUCUCAGCUCUAGGUGAGGCUGAGGUUGGAGAUGCCACUUCACACCAGCUCAGAUGGGGGCUGUGUGUGCUACACGGCGCUGGUGUGAGACAGCUGAUGAAAUGCUUUUUGUUUAUCUCUCGGAUCUAUUUCAGCGCUCUUCACCAUCUGGUGAAACACUUCAAGGAAGAAAACAGCCUUGCAGUGUCUCAUUUUGCCGUGGUUUUUGAGCAUUAUUUUAAUGAUCUUUGUGUCAUUUAAGUAUGAUUACUUGUCCUCUAAGGCUUUUGCUGUUUAUACUUAAAUAGUGUUGGAGUGUAGCCAGACACACUUUAGACAAAAUGAUAGAAAAUAGUACAUUUUUUAUAUUUUCAUAGUCAUAAAAGCUUAAAAGAAUCAUUUACAAUUUGAGAACAUAGUGGCACUUUGCAUUCUGGUAGGGUUUUGUCUAUUUUUUUUUUUUAAUCUCCUUGUAGUAGUCGAAAAAUAAAUGAAUUAAACAAGCGUAAUUACCAGUUAAAUUUUACAAAAUACCAAAGAAAUGGAGGGCUUAAUUCAAAAGGGUGGUAAUGGUAUAAAUAAUUAAGUCAAAUUGUUUUCAUUUUCAUGCCGCAUAUUGUUUCCUUCAGACUCUAAUGGUACAAGGCAAAGUAUGCGCAGUGCUAGAACAAGACAAAUAAUAGAUAAAUUUAUUCAUAAACACUUUGUGGAUUUGUAAUUAGAAGUUCACUGCAGCGGCUUUCACUGGUCUUUAUUUUUUCCCCAAUUUCUGUAAAUAUUUGCAUGAUUAAAUUUUUGCUUUGAGAGUGCAGACAGACACAGAAUGCACUGCGGAAGUGCUGUGAAACCUUCAUUUCUUGGCUGAAGUGGCAACCAGAUCCCCAGCAUCCUCAACACAGCAUGGCCAUCUGCCAGCUGGGUUAGCCAGCACCAUGCCUAUGGAGGUUGGGAGCUGUUGGGAUGGGUUGUGUCUGUGGCAGUUUUCCCUCUUUUAAUUAGUUAAUACCCAAAAAGGAGUUUUUCUGACCCACAGAUGAUAAUGACCUGGUAGAUAUCAAAUUCACUGGACUUUAGGGACCAUCAGUGACUUCUGCCCAAAAAGUGGGGCUGGCGAAUGAAAUGACCUUGUAGGAUGAAUGCAGCACCAUAUACAUGAAGCAAUACAAUCACUGCCUACAUUUUGUGGGUCUGGCAUGCAGAAUGCCUGCAGUGCUGUGUCUUCAAUGAACCCAUUUCAGUGUAAAGUUGUGAUAACCUGCAGAGAUCAGAAGAUCUCCUGAGGGUCAAUACGCACCAUUACAGGACUUCAAAUGCCAGGUGAUGAUACUGAAAGGGACAUCCAGAGCUCCACCACAACAGCAAUUCCUGAUUUGAACCUGUUUGUGGAACUACCUCUUGGUUUAUUUUGAGCGUGGUACAAAUUUACUAAAAUUAAACUUUUGAAAAUAGGAAGACACAGAAGCAAGUUAAACCUUCUGAAUAAUUUGCCAUUCAGCACGCUCUAGGUGUAUUCACUUUUUAUGAAAGUAAGACUACGCUAGGAUUACCUGUAUUUCCUCAGGGUAGGGGUCCUUAUUCUUCCCCUGAUGCACUCGCACAGAUCCUAUUGGUACCACUGAGCCAUGAUGCGAGCAGCAGAGAUUGCAGCACCGCUCACAGCUCUUGCCCGCAGGUAGCCCAUGAACAUCGAUACCUUCCAUCAUUGCAUCAACGCAGCGUGAAGCACCAGGUGAGCUUGUGUCUGUGCCCAGCCCCAGGGAAGGAUUUGCCAUACACGAAUGGAUUAAAAUGAGCUGGGCUGGGGUCAAAACAGCAAGGUCCUCAGCUCUGCUGAUUCACUGCUUAUCCUUCCAGCAGCCCGAGGGAGCUGCAACAUGUGCGGUGCUUCCCUUCCCCUCACGCUGCAGUGGAGCACGGCUUCUGCAUAGCACUACUGGCCUCUGCUGCCAGCACGGGAGAGGAGGAGAGGAGAGAAAUUGAAUGGGGACUUUCCACCUCCCUGCUUUUCUGGAGGGCCUCCUGAUCCCUGCCUAUGAGCUGGAGGAAAAGCAAUCUUUCAUCCUUACCUUAUUUCCAUGCUUACAAAUAAAGGUCAAGGCUCCUCUGCUGUAUUCAAUGCUGUACCAGCUUUAAACAACCACCCUGAAAUGUAAUUGUAAUUAGUUUCCUUUCAAUCUUGAUGUGAAGAGUGAUCUUAAAAUGCCAGGGCUGUAGCAGCGCAUGUGAUUAACAAGCACAGAGAAAGGCAGUGUGUGGAAAAAUAUGGAUAGAAAUGAACAAAAUGCAAAUGUUGCACUGCUCUAAAUUUUAUUAUCCUCUCAGCUCUUCAUAAAAUACUGUAGACAUCAUUUGAUUAUAUUUUUAGUCUAGGGAAUUAAUUUUUAACUAGGGAGCUCGUUUCUGCCUUAUGAUUACUCUUCUCUGCAAUGGCCUGUAGGUCUGAACUAAAAAAUCACAGUUUUAAUUGAGCUAAUGAUGCCCAGAACUCACAUUAAUCUCACUUAUGUGUGUGUCAUGCCAUGCAGUGUAUGCUAUAGCUGCCAGUAACGUGUGCAUCAUUUUAUAUCAAUGAUUCCUCCAGGGGAUCGAGUAAAUCCUGGCCGGCUUGGGUCUGCAUCCCACUGUUGUCACUGCCCAGAAGACUCCUUGGAAAUGCUGAUGCCUGGGCAGCUAGCAGAGGGAAAAGAAAACGGCAAAAACAGCAUUCAUGAUCAGCCUCCACGUCCACCCCAGCUCUUUCAAGAGCUUUUAACACGUGCACAUUUUGGCCUGUGACAUCCAGACUCGCAGUAGGGGUCAACAAACAUUUGGGCAUCUAUAGCUCUGCGCGUUCACCUCAUCCCACAGCCACCAUCCCAUAGUCUAGGUCUUCAACUCUCUGUGCUGGAAUCCACAUUAAACAGAGCAGUGAAGUUCCAAUUGUUUGUUGUCAAAGAGUUUCAGUUUUGUGAUGAAAGAUGUGACCUUUCUUUGCGGCAAGAGUCCUUUCUGAUUGAUUAGUAAACAUGAGGUAAAAUGCAGGAGCACGCCAGCGUUAACUUGGUACUGCCACUGGCUCUGUGCUUCAAAUAUUUUUGCUUUAUUUUGAACAUCCUGCUAAUGAGAAAAACAUUCUAAUCAAAGAAACGUGUUUCCUUCAAUUCUCUGCACAGUGUUAUUUGCUGCUUCAGAAUGACAUGCUCAAUUAUAUCUGUUUUAUUCCCAAAUUAGAAAAAAAAGAAAAAAAAGCUUCAGAAAAUUAUUAACUAAGACUCUUAACAAGUGUUAAGCAACAUCCAAUAUUAAUUAUUUAAUCAUUUUUUUUUAAUUCUUUUUCAUCAGGUAAGAAGAGAAUAGCAUGCUUGCUCAGACGAUGGCUUUUCACUUAGCACCACUGAGCUCAGGACUGGGCUUCAAAAGCAAGCUCAAGGUAACUUCUAGGUCUCUAAAGUUCACUGAGAACAGCCUUUACCUUAAAGCACGACUGAACCCCGGCCAAGGGGACAAUGUGACACACGAAGGAGGUGACCCUGCCGUGCGACAGAUCCGAAUGCAUGGAGUACAGAUGGAGCAUCUCGGAGGGAUAUGGUCUGAGGAAU